GACAGCUUGGCCGACGAGUGGUUAAGGCGAUGGACUUGAAAUCCAUUGAGGCAACCCGCGUGAGUUCAAACCUCACAGCUGUCG
rnacentral:tRNA from 1 species